UACGUAGGGGGCGAGCGUUGUCCGGAUUUAUUGGGCGUAAAGAGCUCGUAGGCGGUUGGGUAAGUCGGGUGUGAAAACUCAGGGCUCAACUCUGAGACGCCACUCGAUACUGCCCUGACUCGAGUCCGGUAGGGGAGCGUGGAAUUCCCGGUGUAGCGGUGAAAUGCGCAGAUAUCGGGAGGAACACCAGUGGCGAAGGCGGCGCUCUGGGCCGGAACUGACGCUGAGGAGCGAAAGCGUGGGUAGCGAGCCGG
rnacentral:rRNA from 1 species